rnacentral:rRNA from 1 species
CUGUGGCUGGGGGUGAAAGGCCAAUCAAACCGGGAGAUAGCUGGUUCUCCCCGAAAGCUAUUUAGGUAGCGCCUCGUGAACUCAUCUCCGGGGGUAGAGCACUGUUUCGGCUAGGGGGCCAUCCCGGCUUACCAACCCGAUGCAAACUGCGAAUACCGGAGAAUGUUAUCACGGGAGACACACGGCGGGUGCUAACGUCCGUCGUGAAGAGGGAAACAACCCAGACCGCCAGCUAAGGUCCCAAAGUCAUGGUUAAGUGGGAAACGAUGUGGGAAGGCCCAGACAGCCAGGAUGUUGGCUUAGAAGCAGCCAUCAUUUAAAGAAAGCGUAAUAGCUCACUGGUCGAGUCGGCCUGCGCGGAAGAUGUAACGGGGCUAAACCAUGCACCGAAGCUGCGGCAGCGACGCUUAUGCGUUGUUGGGUAGGGGAGCGUUCUGUAAGCCUGCGAAGGUGUGCUGUGAGGCAUGCUGGAGGUAUCAGAAGUGCGAAUGCUGACAUAAGUAACGAUAAAGCGGGUGAAAAGCCCGCUCGCCGGAAGACCAAGGGUUCCUGUCCAACGUUAAUCGGGGCAGGGUGAGUCGACCCCUAAGGCGAGGCCGAAAGGCGUAGUCGAUGGGAAACAGGUUAAUAUUCCUGUACUUGGUGUUACUGCGAAGGGGGGACGGAGAAGGCUAUGUCGGCCGGGCGACGGUUGUCCCGGUUUAAGCGUGUAGGCUGACUUUCCAGGCAAAUCCGGAAAGUUAAGGCUGAGGCGUGAUGACGAGGCACUACGGUGCUGAAGUGACAAAUGCCCUGCUUCCAGGAAAAGCCUCUAAGCAUCAGGUAACAUCAAAUCGUACCCCAAACCGACACAGGUGGUCAGGUAGAGAAUACCAAGGCGCUUGAGAGAACUCGGGUGAAGGAACUAGGCAAAAUGGUGCCGUAACUUCGGGAGAAGGCACGCUGACAUGUAGGUGAAGCCCCUGCGGGUGGAGCUGAAGUCAGUCGAAGAUACCAGCUGGCUGCAACUGUUUAUUAAAAACACAGCACUGUGCAAACACGAAAGUGGACGUAUACGGUGUGACGCCUGCCCGGUGCCGGAAGGUUAAUUGAUGGGGUUAUCGCAAGAGAAGCUCCUGAUCGAAGCCCCGGUAAACGGCGGCCGUAACUAUAACGGUCCUAAGGUAGCGAAAUUCCUUGUCGGGUAAGUUCCGACCUGCACGAAUGGCGUAAUGAUGGCCAGGCUGUCUCCACCCGAGACUCAGUGAAAUUGAACUCGCUGUGAAGAUGCAGUGUACCCGCGGCAAGACGGAAAGACCCCGUGAACCUUUACUACAGCUUGACACUGAACAUUGAGCCUUGAUGUGUAGGAUAGGUGGGAGGCUUUGAAGCGUGGACGCCAGUCUGCGUGGAGCCGACCUUGAAAUACCACCCUUUAAUGUUUGAUGUUCUAACCUGGCGCCGUGAUCCGGCGUGGGGACAGUGUCUGGUGGGUAGUUUGACUGGGGCGGUCUCCUCCCAAAGUGUAACGGAGGAGCACGAAGGUCAGCUAAUCCUGGUCGGACAUCAGGAGGUUAGUGCAAUGGCAUAAGCUGGCUUGACUGCGAGAGUGACGGCUCGAGCAGGUGCGAAAGCAGGUCAUAGUGAUCCGGUGGUUCUGUAUGGAAGGGCCAUCGCUCAACGGAUAAAAGGUACUCCGGGGAUAACAGGCUGAUACCGCCCAAGAGUUCAUAUCGACGGCGGUGUUUGGCACCUCGAUGUCGGCUCAUCACAUCCUGGGGCUGAAGUAGGUCCCAAGGGUAUGGCUGUUCGCCAUUUAAAGUGGUACGCGAGCUGGGUUUAGAACGUCGUGAGACAGUUCGGUCCCUAUCUGCCGUGGGCGCUGGAGAAUUGAGGGGGGCUGCUCCCAGUACGAGAGGACCGGAGUGGACGCAUCACUGGUGUUCGGGUUGUCAUGCCAAUGGCACUGCCCGGUAGCUAAAUGCGGAAGAGAUAAGUGCUGAAAGCAUCUAAGCACGAAACUUGCCCCGAGAUGAGUUCUCCCUGAGACUAUAAGUCUCCUGAAGGAACGUUGAAGACGACGACGUUGAUAGGCCGGGUGUGUAAGCGCAGCGAUGCGUUGAGCUAACCGGUACUAAUGAACCGUGAGGCUUAACCUU